UACGUAGGGUGCGAGCGUUGUCCGGAAUUAUUGGGCGUAAAGGGCUCGUAGGCGGUUUGUCGCGUCGGGUGUGAAAACCCAGGGCUUAACCCUGGGCUGGCUUCCGAUACGGGCAGACUAGAGGUAUGCAGGGGAGAACGGAAUUCCUGGUGUAGCGGUGAAAUGCGCAGAUAUCAGGAGGAACACCGGUGGCGAAGGCGGUUCUCUGGGCAUGUCCUGACGCUGAGGAGCGAAGGUGUGGGGAGCGAACAGG
rnacentral:rRNA from 1 species